rnacentral:rRNA from 1 species
UACGGAGGGUGCAAGCGUUAUCCGGAAUCACUGGGUUUAAAGGGUGCGUAGGCGGUCUGAUAAGUCAGUUGUGAAAUUCCUCGGCUUAACCGAGUGGACUGCGAUUGAUACUGUCAGACUUGAAUCAGGUUGAGGUAGGCGGAAUGUGACAUGUAGCGGUGAAAUGCUUAGAUAUGUCAUAGAACACCGAUUGCGAAGGCAGCUUGCUGGGCUUAGAUUGACGCUGGAGGCACGAAAGCCGUGGGGAGCAAACAGG